rnacentral:rRNA from 1 species
CCCUUAGAUGUCCUGGGCCGCACGCGUGCUACACUGAGUGGAUCAGCGGGUCAGGUUGCGCGAAAGUGUUUCCUAAUCUUUAAAUCCGCUCGUGAUGGGGAUUGACGGUUGCAAUUUUCCGUCAUGAACGAGGAAUACCUUGUAAGCGCGGGUCAUCAUCCCGCGCUGAAUACGUCCCUGCCCUUUGUACACACCGCCCGUCGCUCCUACCGAUUGAGUGGUCCGGUGAGGCUUUGGGAUCUGAGCGGAAAGAGCGUUUCGCUGUUUCUGCCCGGAAAACUCAGUCGAACCUUAUCAUUUAGAGGAAGGAGAAGUCGUAACA